AUUGAACGCUGGCGGCAGGCCUAACACAUGCAAGUCGAGCGGAUGAAGGGAGCUUGCUCCUGGAUUCAGCGGCGGACGGGUGAGUAAUGCCUAGGAAUCUGCCUGGUAGUGGGGGAUAACGUCCGGAAACGGGCGCUAAUACCGCAUACGUCCUGAGGGAGAAAGUGGGGGAUCUUCGGACCUCACGCUAUCAGAUGAGCCUAGGUCGGAUUAGCUAGUUGGUGGGGUAAAGGCCUACCAAGGCGACGAUCCGUAACUGGUCUGAGAGGAUGAUCAGUCACAACGGGACUGCGGCACGGGCCCAAACUCCAAGGGGGGGCACGAUUGGGAAAUUUUGGCAAGUGGGGGAAGCCUUGUCCCACCAAGGCGCCGUGGGUAAAGAAGUUCUCCGAUUGUAAAGCACUUUAAGAUGGGAGGAAGGGCAGUAAGUUAAUACCUUGCUGUUUUGACGUUACCAACAGAAUAAGCACCGGCUAACUUCGUG
rnacentral:rRNA from 1 species